rnacentral:rRNA from 1 species
UGCGUAGGCGGAAAAUUAAGUCAGUGAUGAAAUCCUGCAGCUUAACUGUAGAACUGUUAUUGAUACUGAUUUUCUUGAAUUCAGUUGAGGUAGGCGGAAUGUGUAAUGUAGCGGUGAAAUGCUUAGAUAUUACACAGAACACCGAUUGCGAAGGCAGCUUACUAAGCUGAUAUUGACGCUGAGGCACGAAAGCGUGGGGAGCGAACAGGAUUAGAUACCCUGGUAGUCC